UGCGGCCGUAUACGAUGAAACACCGGUUCCCGUACAAUCACUACAAGUUAAACAACGUCAGGCCUGGUUAGUAGCUAGAUGGGUGACCGCUUGGGAAGACCAGCUGCU